GGGUUGUGAGGUUAAGCGACUAAGCGUACACGGUGGAUGCCCUGGCAGUCAGAGGCGAUGAAGGGCGUGCUAAUCUGCGAUAAGCGCCGGUAAGGUGAUAUGAACCGUUAUAACCGGCGAUACCCGAAUGGGGAAACCCAGUGUGACUCGUCACACUAUCAUUAACUGAAUCCAUAGGUUAAUGAGGCGAACCGGGGGAACUGAAACAUCUAAGUACCCCGAGGAAAAGAAAUCAACCGAGAUUCCCCCAGUAGCGGCGAGCGAACGGGGAGGAGCCCAGAGCCUGAAUCAGCAUGUGUGUUAGUGGAAGCGUCUGGAAAGGCGCGCGAUACAGGGUGACAGCCCCGUACACAAAAGCGCAUGUGCUGUGAGCUCGAUGAGUAGGGCGGGACACGUGGUAUCCUGUCUGAAUAUGGGGGGACCAUCCUCCAAGGCUAAAUACUCCUGACUGACCGAUAGUGAACCAGUACCGUGAGGGAAAGGCGAAAAGAACCCCGGCGAGGGGAGUGAAAAAGAACCUGAAACCGUGUACGUACAAGCAGUGGGAGCNNGUGACUGCGUACCUUUUGUAUAAUGGGUCAGCGACUUAUAUUCUGUAGCAAGGUUAACCGAAUAGGGGAGCCGGAGGGAAACCGAGUCUUAAUUGGGCGUUAAGUUGCAGGGUAUAGACCCGAAACCCGGUGAUCUAGCCAUGGGCAGGUUGAAGGUUGGGUAACACUAACUGGAGGACCGAACCGACUAAUGUUGAAAAAUUAGCGGAUGACCUGUGGCUGGGGGUGAAAGGCCAAUCAAACCGGGAGAUAGCUGGUUCUCCCCGAAAGCUAUUUAGGUAGCGCCUCGUGAAUUCAUCUCCGGGGGUAGAGCACUGUUUCGGCUAGGGGGCCAUCCCGGCUUACCAACCCGAUGCAAACUGCGAAUACCGGAGAAUGUUAUCACGGGAGACACACGGCGGGUGCUAACGUCCGUCGUGAAGAGGGAAACAACCCAGACCGCCAGCUAAGGUCCCAAAGUCAUGGUUAAGUGGGAAACGAUGUGGGAAGGCCCAGACAGCCAGGAUGUUGGCUUAGAAGCAGCCAUCAUUUAAAGAAAGCGUAAUAGCUCACUGGUCGAGUCGGCCUGCGCGGAAGAUGUAACGGGGCUAAACCAUGCACCGAAGCUGCGGCAGCGANNGUUGGGUAGGGGAGCGUUCUGUAAGCCUGCGAAGGUGGCCUGUGAGGGUUGCUGGAGGUAUCAGAAGUGCGAAUGCUGACAUAAGUAACGAUAAAGCGGGUGAAAAGCCCGCUCGCCGGAAGACCAAGGGUUCCUGUCCAACGUUAAUCGGGGCAGGGUGAGUCGACCCCUAAGGCGAGGCCGAAAGGCGUAGUCGAUGGGAAACGGGUUAAUAUUCCCGUACUUGGUGUUACUGCGAAGGGGGGACGGAGAAGGCUAUGUUGGCCGGGCGACGGUUGUCCCGGUUUAAGCGUGUAGGUGUGUGUUCCAGGUAAAUCCGGUUCACUUUAACACUGAGGCGUGAUGACGAGGCACUACGGUGCUGAAGCAACAAAUGCCCUGCUUCCAGGAAAAGCCUCUAAGCAUCAGGUAACAUCAAAUCGUACCCCAAACCGACACAGGUGGUCAGGUAGAGAAUACCAAGGCGCUUGAGAGAACUCGGGUGAAGGAACUAGGCAAAAUGGUGCCGUAACUUCGGGAGAAGGCACGCUGACAUGUAGGUGAAGUGAUUUACUCAUGGAGCUGAAGUCAGUCGAAGAUACCAGCUGGCUGCAACUGUUUAUUAAAAACACAGCACUGUGCAAACACGAAAGUGGACGUAUACGGUGUGACGCCUGCCCGGUGCCGGAAGGUUAAUUGAUGGGGUCAGCGCAAGCGAAGCUCCUGAUCGAAGCCCCGGUAAACGGCGGCCGUAACUAUAACGGUCCUAAGGUAGCGAAAUUCCUUGUCGGGUAAGUUCCGACCUGCACGAAUGGCGUAAUGAUGGCCAGGCUGUCUCCACCCGAGACUCAGUGAAAUUGAACUCGCUGUGAAGAUGCAGUGUACCCGCGGCAAGACGGAAAGACCCCGUGAACCUUUACUAUAGCUUGACACUGAACAUUGAGCCUUGAUGUGUAGGAUAGGUGGGAGGCUUUGAAGCGUGGACGCCAGUCUGCGUGGAGCCGACCUUGAAAUACCACCCUUUAAUGUUUGAUGUUCUAACGUGGACCCGUAAUCCGGGUUGCGGACAGUGUCUGGUGGGUAGUUUGACUGGGGCGGUCUCCUCCUAAAGAGUAACGGAGGAGCACGAAGGUUGGCUAAUCCUGGUCGGACAUCAGGAGGUUAGUGCAAUGGCAUAAGCCAGCUUGACUGCGAGCGUGACGGCGCGAGCAGGUGCGAAAGCAGGUCAUAGUGAUCCGGUGGUUCUGAAUGGAAGGGCCAUCGCUCAACGGAUAAAAGGUACUCCGGGGAUAACAGGCUGAUACCGCCCAAGAGUUCAUAUCGACGGCGGUGUUUGGCACCUCGAUGUCGGCUCAUCACAUCCUGGGGCUGAAGUAGGUCCCAAGGGUAUGGCUGUUCGCCAUUUAAAGUGGUACGCGAGCUGGGUUUAGAACGUCGUGAGACAGUUCGGUCCCUAUCUGCCGUGGGCGCUGGAGAACUGAGGGGGGCUGCUCCUAGUACGAGAGGACCGGAGUGGACGCAUCACUGGUGUUCGGGUUGUCAUGCCAAUGGCACUGCCCGGUAGCUAAAUGCGGAAGAGAUAAGUGCUGAAAGCAUCUAAGCACGAAACUUGCCCCGAGAUGAGUUCUCCCUGAGACUU
rnacentral:rRNA from 1 species